GCCUAACCUAACACACAAUUAAAUCACUAAUUGUCCGCCAAACAACUACGAGUUAAAACUUAAAACUUAAAAGACUUGACGGUACUUCACACCACCCUAGAGGAGCUUGUCUAAUAACCGAUACCCCACGAUUAACCCGACCCGCCCUAGCCUAACAGUCUAUAUACCGCCAUCGCCAGCUCACCUUGUGAAAGAAACAAAGCGGGCCAAACAGUCACCACUAAUACGAUAGGUCGAGGUGUAACUAAUGGGCGGGGACAGAUGAGCUACAUUUUCUAAUAUAGAAAACACGAAUGAAUCUACGAAAAUAGAAACCAAAGGCGGAUUUAGCAGUAAAUUAGGGACAAUAAGCCUAAUCGAAAUAAACGCAAUGAAGUGCGUACACACCGCCCGUCAUCCCUGUAAAAAACCAAUAAACUUCAUAAACACAAAGAAAUAAUAAACAGGGCAAGUCGUAACAUGGUAAGCGUACUGGAAAGUGCGCUUAGAAA
rnacentral:rRNA from 1 species